rnacentral:lncRNA from 1 species
UCGAAAGGAAUCAAGAAUCGAUCGAUCCGAACGCCGAAUCAAAAUCCUUGGGAUCAAAGACAGCAAGGGGGUAAAGGACGAGCCGGACGAAACCCUAGAAUCGAGAGAAAGAAGAGGAUGACGGACGGAUGGGCACCCUCGAUUGGUAGAUAUUAUAUAGAAUUUUAUUUAAUAGUUUAAUAUAUUUAACAAUGUCGGUUUCAGGUGGGUCGGGUUCCCAGGCACCUCAACCCAUGCCCGACCCGAAAUUUUCAUCGGUUUUGAAUUCUCUACCCUGGGCCGGU